CUGCCAAACACCCUCUACAUUACUCCCCUUCUCUAUUACAUAAACCAAACAUCCUCACAAUCACACUCCUCUCUCUCUCUCGAUACACACCCACACCAAAAAAAUGGAACCCCUAAUCUUCUUCCAAAUAAGGGGGUGUUUGGCCUAGCUUUUUUUAAAAAAGCUUAUAGCUUUUUUAGCUUUUUUUACAAAAUAAGCUUCAUUUGGUGUUUGUUUUAGCUUUUUAAACUUAUGCUUAUUAGCUUAUAUAAGCUAAUUUGAAUAAGCUUAUUUGAACAUGGUUUUUAAGCUUAUUUGAAGAAUGAUAGAAAAUAAGCUAUAAGCUAAUCCAAACACUUAAAAAGAGCUUAUCAAAUAAUAGAAAAUAAGCUAUAAGCUACUUUAAAAUAUAAGCAUAAGCCAAAAAAUAAAACUAGGCCAAACACCCCCUAAGUAGCAGACCUCAAAGUUCCUUCCCUCUCUCUCUCGAUCCCUCUCCGGUGAAGACCACAGCCGGACCAACGACCCCUCCGGUCAUCAUUAUUGCCGGCGACAAGCACAGCAACAACACCCCCUGUUAAUGAUUCAACGGCCGGCCACCUCGCUUGGGUGGUGGCGCUCGACGGCGGCGACGGUAACGAGAGAGAGAGAGCUGAAGAGAUGAGAGAGAAGCGGAGGCGGAGCAGCGCCGCCGCUCAUGGCGGCGGCAGGGGCAGUGAAGGUGGUUGGUUCCGACGAGAAUCCGAUAAAGCCCCCCCCUCGGUUUCAUCUCCGGCGGCGACACAUCGAAGGAAAGAGAGAGAAUCGGUGUUGGUGGUGACUGGUGGUUCUCGUCUCGGACCGGUGGUCCUAGCUUCGGACCGUCGGGUUUCACGACGACGCUGAAGAUGAUGACAGAGGAUGGAUGAUAAGGAUGGUGCUGAAGAUGUCGGUGGUGGUCCGACGCGGUGACCGGCGCUGACUGUGGUCCGACAGCCGCUGAUACCCGUGCCAGCGACAUCAGCUGAAGUGAUGAAGCUAUUCAGAUGGUUUCGAGUCUAGAUUGGGUUACGUUUCAUUGUUCAGGUCAACAGCUCGGGUCAACGGUCACAGACUAGUCAACUCGGUCAACCCGAGUCGACUCAGUAAACUCAGCAAGUUGACUCGGUUAGCUCGGCUUUCGACACGAGAAGAUGGUAAAGACUUUACGGCGCGAAUACAUAUUUACGUUAAUUAUAUGUUUUUUUUUGUUACGAGCUCGAACCGAUUCGAAUUAGUAUCUAGUUAUAUUUCGCCAUUUUUAUGAAAAUUUCAGAUAUAAGUGAUUGAAUCUUGUUGAA